CAAUAGCGUAUAUUAAAGUUGUUGCAGUUAAAAAGCUCGUAGUUGGAUUUCGGGGCAGCCUGGCUGGUCCGCCGCAAGGCGAGUACUGGUCAGCCGCCCUUCCUCUCGAAAGCCCCGACUGCUCUUCGUUGAAGUGGUCGGGUAGUUCGGGACGUUUACUUUGAAAAAAUUAGAGUGUUCAAGGCAGGCCUACGCCUGAAUACAUUAGCAUGGAAUAAUGGAAGAGGACCUCGGUCCUAUUUUGUUGGUUUCCAGGGCCGAAGUAAUGAUUAAGAGGGACAGUUGGGGGCAUUCGUAUUUAAUUGUCAGAGGUGAAAUUCUCGGAUUUAUGAAAGACGAACAACUGCGAAAGCAUUUGCCAAGGAUGUUUUCAUUAA
rnacentral:rRNA from 1 species